rnacentral:rRNA from 1 species
GGGAAUUUUCCGCAAUGGGCGAAAGCCUGACGGAGCAACGCCGCGUGAGGGAUGAAGGCCUCUGGGCUGUAAACCUCUUUUAUCAAGGAAGAAGAUCUGACGGUACUUGAUGAAUAAGCCACGGCUAAUUCCGUGCCAGCAGCCGCGGUAAUACGGGAGUGGCAAGCGUUAUCCGGAAUUAUUGGGCGUAAAGCGUCCGCAGGCGGCCCUUCAAGUCUGCUGUUAAAAAGUGGAGCUUAACUCCAUCAUGGCAGUGGAAACUGUUGGGCUUGAGUGUGGUAGGGGCAGAGGGAAUUCCCGGUGUAGCGGUGAAAUGCGUAGAUAUCGGGAAAAACACCAGUGGCGAAGGCGCUCUGCUGGGCCAUCACUGACGCUCAUGGACGAAAGCCAGGGGAGCGAAAGGGAUUAGAUACCCCUGUAGUCA